rnacentral:rRNA from 1 species
UAAGGAAUAUUGCUCAAUGGGGGAAACCCUGAAGCAGCAACGCCGCGUGAGGGAUGAAGGGCUUUUGCUCGUAAACCUCUGUAGUGAGGGAAAAAAUUUCCACUCUGUGGAAUAUGAUGGUACCUCAAAAGUAAGCCCCGGCUAACUACGUGCCAGCAGCCGCGGUAAUACGUAGGGGGCAAACGUUGUCCGGAUUUACUGGGUGUAAAGGGUGCUCAGGCGGUUUUGUAAGUCAGAAGUGAAAUCCUAG